GGUGAGUAACACGUGAGCAACCUGCCCUAGGCUUUGGGAUAACCCUCGGAAACGGGGGCUAAUACCGAAUAUGACCUCGCAUCGCAUGGUGUGUGGUGGAAAGUUUUUCGGCCUGGGAUGGGCUCGCGGCCUAUCAGCUUGUUGGUGGGGUGAUGGCCUACCAAGGCGACGACGGGUAGCCGGCCUGAGAGGGCGACCGGCCACACUGGGACUGAGACACGGCCCAGACUCCUACGGGAGGCAGCAGUGGGGAAUAUUGCACAAUGGGCGGAAGCCUGAUGCAGCGACGCCGCGUGAGGGAUGACGGCCUUCGGGUUGUAAACCUCUUUCAGCAGGGACGAAGCGUAAGUGACGGUACCUGCAGAAGAAGCGCCGGCCAACUACGUGCCAGCAGCCGCGGUAAGACGUAGGGCGCGAGCGUUGUCCGGAU
rnacentral:rRNA from 1 species